rnacentral:rRNA from 1 species
GGUGAACGCUGGCGGCGUGCUUAAGACAUGCAAGUCGAACGAUCGUCUUCGGAUGGUAGUGGCGCACGGGGGCGUAACGCGUAACUAACCUGCCCUCAAGUUCCGAAUAACCCUCCGAAAGGACGGCUAAUACGGGAUAUGCUGUCCCCUCCUGUGCGGCCAGUAAGGGCUUGACGGCUUGGGGCUGGGGUUGCGUUCCAGCAGCUAGAUGGUGGGGUAAAGGCAUACCAUGGCCACGACGGAUAACCGGCCUGAGAGGGUGGCCGGUCACAGGGGCACUGAGACACGGGUCCCACUCCGACGGGAGGCAGCAGUUAGAGAGCGUAACCAAGGGACAAGAGUCUGAGGCAGCGGCGCCGAGUGAGGGAUGGAGGUUUUCGGAUCGUAAACGUCAGAAUCAGGGACGAAAGACGCGGCAGCGUGAGGCGGGAACCGGAGUAAUAGCACCGGCUAACUCCGUG